rnacentral:rRNA from 1 species
GGGAGGGGCCUGCGUCCCAUCAGCUAGUUGGUAAGGUAAUGGCUUACCACGGCUAUGACGGGUAGGGGACCUGAGAGGGUGGCCCCCCACAAUGGAACUGAAACACGGUCCAUACACCUACGGGUGGCAGCAGUAGGGAAUAUUGGUAAUCUGGGAAACCGGGAACCAGCAACGCCGCGUGCGCGAUGAAGGCCUUCGGGUCGUAAAGCGCUUUUUGAAGGGAUGAGGAAGGACAGUACCUUCAGAAUAAGCCUCGGCUAACUACGUGCCAGCAGCCGCGGUAAAACGUAGGAGGCGAGCGUUAUCCGGAUUUACUGGGCGUAAAGCGUGUGUAGGCGGUUUGAUAAGUUGGAUGUGAAAGCUCCCGGCUCAACUGGGAGAGGUCGUUCAAAACUAUCAGACUCGAGAGUGGUAGAGGGAGGUGGAAUUCCGCGUGUAGUGGUGAAAUGCGUAGAUAUGCGGAGGAACACCAGUGGCGAAAGCGGCCUCCUGGCCCAUUUCUGACGCUCAGACACGAAAGCUGGGGUAGCAAACGGGAUUAGAGACCCCGGUAGUCUUAGCUGUAAACGACGUGAACUUAGUGUCGGUGGGGUUAAAUCCAUCGGUACUGAAGCUAACGCGAUAA